GGACGCUCCGGGGGUUUACCUCCGGGGAGUGGCGCACGGGUGAGUAGCGCGUGGGAACCUGUCCUUUUGUGGGGGAUAACCGAGGGAAACUUCGGCUAAUACCGCAUGCGCCCCGGCGCGAGCUGGGGGAAAGAUUUAUCGCAGAGGGAGGGGCCCGCGUCGGAUUAGGUAGUUGGUGGGGUAACAGCCUACCAAGCCUGUGAUCCGUAGCUGGUAUGAGAGGAUGAUCAGCCACACUGGGACUGAGACACGGCCCAGACUCCUACGGGAGGCAGCAGUGGGGAAUAUUGGACAAUGGGCGCAAGCCUGAUCCAGCAAUGCCGCGUGAGUGAUGAAGGCCUUAGGGUUGUAAAGCUACUUUCGGCGGGGACGAUGAUGACGGUACCCGCAGAAGAAGCCCCGGCUAACUUAGUG
rnacentral:rRNA from 1 species